CUACGGGCGGCUCCAGUGGGGAAUAUUGGACAAUGGGGGAAACCCUGAUCCAGCAAUGCCGCGUGUGUGAAGAAGGCCUGCGGGUUGUAAAGCACUUUCGGUUGGGAGGACUGCUUCUAGCACUAAUAUUGUUGGAAGUUGACGUUACCUUCAGAAGAAGCACCGGCUAACUCCGUGCCAGCAGCCGCGGUAAUACGGGAGGGUGAAAGCGUUAAUCGGAAUUACUGGGCGUAAAGCGCGCGUAGGCGGCUAGAUCAGUCGGGUGUGAAAGCCCCGGGCUUAACCUGGGAACUGCAUCCGAUACUGUCUAGCUUGAGUACAGGAGAGGAGAGUGGAAUUCCACAUGUAGCGGUGAAAUGCGUAGAUAUGUGGAGGAACACCAAUGGCGAAGGCAGCUCUCUGGCCUGAUACUGACGCUGAGGUGCGAAAGCGUGGGGAGCAAACAGGAUUAGAUACCCGCGUAGUC
rnacentral:rRNA from 1 species